GACGAACGCUGGCGGCGUGGAUUAGGCAUGCAAGUCGAACGGUAUCAUCCUUUCGGGGGUGAGAGAGUGGCGAACUGGUGAGUAACACGUAGGUUAUCUACCCUCAAGACGGGGACAACCCAGGGAAACUUGGGCUAAUACCGGAUGUGAGCAACUUUUAGUUGUUUGAAAGGUGGCGUAAGCUGUCGCUUGGGGAUGAGCCUGCGUCCUAUUAGUUAGUUGGUGGGGUAACGGCUCACCUAGGCAAUGAUAGGUAGGCGGCCUUAACGGGUGGUCGCCCACACUGGGAUUGAGAUACGGCCCAGACUCCUACGGGAGGCAGCAGUCGAGAAUAGUCUACAAUGGUCGGAAGACUGAUAGUGCGACGCCGCGUGAACGAUGAAUCCCUUCGGGGUGUAAAGUUCUUUUAUAUGUGAGCAGUGCUUCUUAUAUUAACAGUAUGGGGAGAGAGAUAUUAGCAUAUGAAUAAGCAACGGCUAACUCCGUGCCAGCAGCCGCGGUAAAACGUCUA
rnacentral:rRNA from 1 species